GACGAACGCUGGCGGCGUGCUUAACACAUGCAAGUCGAACGGAAAGGCCCUGCUUUUGUGGGGUUCUCGAGUGGCGAACGGGUGAGUAACACGUGAGUAACCUGCCCUUGACUUUGGGAUAACUUCAGGAAACUGGGGCUAAUACCGGAUAGGAGCUCCUGCUGCUUGGUGGGGGUUGGAAAGUUUCGGCGGUUGGGGAUGGACUCGCGGCUUAUCAGCUUGUUGGUGGGGUAGUGGCUUACCAAGGCUUUGACGGGUAGCCGGCCUGAGAGGGUGACCGGCCACAUUGGGACUGAGAUACGGCCCAGAAUCCUACGGGAGGCAGCAGUGGGGAAUAUUGCACAAUGGGCGGAAGCCUGAUGCAGCAACGCCGCGUGCGGGAUGACGGCCUUCGGGUUGUAAACCGCUUUCGCCUGUGACGAAGCGUGAGUGACGGUAAUGGGUAAAGAAGCACCGGCUAACUACGUG
rnacentral:rRNA from 1 species